rnacentral:rRNA from 1 species
UCGUAACAAGGUUUCCGUAGGUGAACCUGCGGAAGGAUCAUUACCGAGUGAGGGCCCUCUGGGUCCAACCUCCCACCCGUGUCUAUCGUACCUUGUUGCUUCGGCGGGCCCGCCGUUUCGACGGCCGCCGGGGAGGCCCUGCGCCCCCGGGCCCGCGCCCGCCGAAGACCCCAACAUGAACGCUGUUCUGAAAGUAUGCAGUCUGAGUUGAUUAUCGUAAUCAGUUAAAACUUUCAACAACGGAUCUCUUGGUUCCGGCAUCGAUGAAGAACGCAGCGAAAUGCGAUAAGUAAUGUGAAUUGCAGAAUUCAGUGAAUCAUCGAGUCUUUGAACGCACAUUGCGCCCCCUGGUAUUCCGGGGGGCAUGCCUGUCCGAGCGUCAUUGCUGCCCUCAAGCACGGCUUGUGUGUUGGGCCCCCGUCCCCCUCUCCCGGGGGACGGGCCCGAAAGGCAGCGGCGGCACCGCGUCCGGUCCUCGAGCGUAUGGGGCUUUGUCACCUGCUCUGUAGGCCCGGCCGGCGCCAGCCGACACCCAACUUUAUUUUUCUAAGGUUGACCUCGGAUCAGGUAGGGAUACCCGCUGAACUUAAGCAUAUC